rnacentral:rRNA from 1 species
GACGAACGCUGGCGGCGUGCCUAAUACAUGCAAGUUGAGCGCUGAAGGUUGGUACUUGUACCAACUGGAUGAGCAGCGAACGGGUGAGUAACGCGUGGGGAAUCUGCCUUUGAGCGGGGGACAACAUUUGGAAACGAAUGCUAAUACCGCAUAAAAACUUUAAACACAAGUUCUAAGUUUGAAAGAUGCAAUUGCAUCACUCAAAGAUGAUCCCGCGUUGUAUUAGCUAGUUGGUGAGGUAAAGGCUCACCAAGGCGAUGAUACAUAGCCGACCUGAGAGGGUGUACGGCCACAUUGGGACUGAGCCACGCCCCAAACUCCUACGGGGGGCAGCAGUAGGGAAUCUUCGGCAAUGGACGAAAGUCUGACCGAGCAACGCCGGGGGAGUGAAGAAGGUUUUCGGAUCGUAAAACUGUGUUGGUAGAGAAGAACGUUGGGGGGAGGGAAAAGCCCAAAAAGGGACGGUAACAACCCAGAAAGGGACGGCCAACUACGU